rnacentral:rRNA from 1 species
AAGCGGUGGAGCAUGUGGCUUAAUUCGAGGCUACGCGAAGACCUUAUCCUGGGCUUGACAUGUGCGAAAGCACUAGGAAGUAGGGGGCGGAAACGUUCCCCCAACGGUAUCCAGUCCGGAACCUAGUACAGGUGCUGCAUGGCUGUCGUCAGCUCGUGUCGUGAGAUGUCGGGUUAAGUCCCAUAACGAGCGAAACCCUUGCCUCCAGUUGCCAGCGAGUAAUGUCGGGGACUCUGGAGGGACUGCCGGUGUUAAACCGGAGGAAGGUGGGGAUG